UAUAUUUUGGUGUAUGGUGCACAUAAGUUUUUGAUACUUCUGGAAAUAGUUUAAUUCUAUUAAAUAUAA
rnacentral:tRNA from 1 species